GCCGGUGUAGCUCAGUUGGUAGAGCGUCUGCUUCGUAAGCAGGGGGUCGGAGGUUCGAGUCCUCUCGCCGGCACCA
rnacentral:tRNA from 1 species